ACUCCUACGGGAGGCAGCAGUGGGGAAUAUUGCACAAUGGGCGCAAGCCUGAUGCAGCCAUGCCGCGUGUAUGAAGAAGGCCUUCGGGUUGUAAAGUACUUUCAGCAGUGAGGAAGGUGGGUAUGUUAAUAGCAUAUUCAUUUGACGUUAGCUGCAGAAGAAGCACCGGCUAACUCCGUGCCAGCAGCCGCGGUAAUACGGAGGGUGCGAGCGUUAAUCGGAAUUACUGGGCGUAAAGCGCAUGCAGGUGGUUUGUUAAGUCAGAUGUGAAAGCCCGGGGCUCAACCUCGGAAUUGCAUUUGAAACUGGCAAACUAGAGUACUGUAGAGGGGGGUAGAAUUUCAGGUGUAGCGGUGAAAUGCGUAGAGAUCUGAAGGAAUACCGGUGGCGAAGGCGGCCCCCUGGACAGAUACUGACACUCAGAUGCGAAAGCGUGGGGAGCAAAACAGGAUUAUAUACCCUGGUAGGUCUGC
rnacentral:rRNA from 1 species